rnacentral:rRNA from 1 species
GAUGAACGCUGGCGGCGUGCCUAAUACAUGCAAGUCGAGCGAACAGAUGAGGAGCUUGCUCCUCUGACGUUAGCGGCGGACGGGUGAGUAACACGUGGAUAACCUACCUAUAAGACUGGGAUAACUUCGGGAAAACGGAGCUAAUACCGGAUAAUAUAUUGAACCGCAUGGUUCAAUAGUGAAAGACGGUUUUGCUGUCACUUAUAGAUGGAUCCGCGCCGCAUUAGCUAGUUGGUAAGGUAACGGCUUACCAAGGCAACGAUGCGUAGCCGACCUGAGAGGGUGAUCGGCCACACUGGAACUGAGACACGGUCCAGACUCCUACGGGAGGCAGCAGUAGGGAAUCUUCCGCGAAGGGCGAAAGCCUGACGGAGCAACGCCGCGUGAGUGAUGAAGGUCUUCGGAUCGUAAAACUCUGUUAUUAGGGAAGAACAAAUGUGUAAGUAACUAUGCACGUCUUGACGGUACCUAAUCAGAAAGCCACGGCUAACUACGUG